GCGGCUGCCGGGGGCCGGUCAGGUGUAGCGGCCGUUCCCGCUGUCCGGGGUGGGGGGAAGGACGAGCCCGCCGGCACCUCUCCCGGGGCCGAAGGGGAGCUCCUGGGCGGAAAGGGAGCCCCUUUCCGCCCCGGGGGCGGUUGGAGGCCGCCACCUGAUCUGCCCCCACCGAGUUUGCGUGCGUUUUCCACAGAAACUCGGCGGCGACGUGGCGCUGAGCCCCUUGCCCCUGUCCGAAAAAGUUGUGUCAGGUACAGCUCCAAACUAACAACGUGGAAAGUGCAGGAACGGAUGCCCUUCCCUACCUGAGAUACCCCAAACGCGUUGGCCCCAAAUUACCAAAAUUUUCCUUCGUCGUGAGGAAAAAUAACACCUUUUCCUCAGGUUUGGCCACACGCGAGGUCCCAUCCUGCCUCCCCACCUCGCCUCUGCUGAGGCUGUGAGACGACUCUCCACACAUCCAGCCCAGCGCUUCAACAGGGUGUGCCGUGCCAGGCAACCAUCGCAUUCAUCACGUCUACAAUGUACAACGCUCAGUAUACAACGUGCGGUGACCUCCAGGAAAUUACAACGCUUCGGUCCUGAUUGCAGCCACAGUCCUGCCGCAUUCUCAUGAAUAAAUAAACCACGAAGCAUACCAGACUUAAGAAAAAGGAAAACCACAGAAGGCAAAAUGGAAGAACUGUAGACGUCUAUGCACUAUUAAAAAGCAAUAUGAAUCUUGAGUCUAACAAAAAUACUGCAAUUGCAAGCCCUAAAGAAACAACAAAAAAAAAGGCAUUAAUCUUUUAUUCUAGAAUGCUAUUAUCAAUAUGUAUUUAUUUUUAGGCUAAUUCAGACCAAGGACUGAAAAGUGCGCGUGACCACAAUCAUGCACAACUCACUAAAUUAACCAUCCUCUGGUGAGGAUUCCCAAAGUCUAUUCAAAGAAUGAUGGGGUUUUUUACAUACUACUGAUGUUUAUAAAUAUUGUAAUGAUAUUGCUAGCUUUUUGGAAAAAAAAAAAAGUGGCAAAAUAAUUCUCUUAAUUAGCCAAAUGGUAAAGAUAAAGGUACCAUACCGACAAUAGCCCAGUGUAACACCUACUCUUGACAGUAAAACAACAUCCAUUGUAUCACAACUGAAUGUAUGUAGUAUAGCUUAAUAAAACAUUAAAGUUUGUUCCACAGAAGAAACAAAAUAUACCUA